UGCCAGCCGCCGCGGUAAUACAGAGACCUCGAGCGUUAUUCGGAUUCACUGGGCGUAAAGCGUACGUAGGCGGAUCGGAAAGUAAGGGGUGAAAUCCCAGGGCUCAACCCUGGAACUGCCUCUUAAACUCCUGGUCUUGAGUUCGAGAGAGGUGAGUGGAAUUCCGAGUGUAGAGGUGAAAUUCGUAGAUAUUCGGAGGAACACCAGUGGCGAAGGCGGCUCACUGGCUCGAUACUGACGCUGAGGUACGAAAGUGUGGGGAGCAAACAGGAUUAGAUA
rnacentral:rRNA from 1 species